rnacentral:rRNA from 1 species
AAACCGUUGGCGCCGCCUAAUACAUGCAAGUCGAACGCGAUCUUCGGAUCGAGUGGCGGACGGGUGAGUAAUACAUGGGAAUCUACCGAGAAGUGGGGAACAACUAUUGGAAACAGUAGCUAAUACCGCAUAAUCCACAUUGGGAAAGCUUUUGCGCUUUUCGAUGAGCCCAUGUCUGAUUAGCUAGUUGGUAAGGUAAAAGCUAACCAAGGCAACGAUCAGUAGCUGGUUUGAGAGGAUGAUCAGCCACACUGGGACUGAGACACGGCCCAGACUCCUACGGGAGGCAGCAGUAGGGAAUCUUGCGCAAUGGACGAAAGUCUGACGCAGCGAUGCCGCGUGAGUGAUGACGGUUUUCGGACUGUAAAGCUCUUUUAUUAGGGAAGAUAAUGACGGUACCUAAAGAAAAAGUCCCGGCUAACUCCGUGCCAGCAGCCGCGGUAAUACGGAGGGGGCGAACGUUAUUCGGAUUUACUGGGCGUAAAGCGACUGUAGGCGGUCUUGCAAGCCAGAUGUGAAAUCCCCGGGCUUAACCUGGGAAUUGCAUUUGGAACUGCAUCACUAGAGUUAUGGAGAGGUAAGUGGAAUUUCCAGUGUAGAGGUGAAAUUCGUAGAUAUUGGAAGGAACACCAGAGGCGAAGGCGACUUACUGCCCAUAUACUGACGCUGAGAGUCGAAAGCGUGGGGAGCAAACAGGAUUAUAUACCCUGGUAGUCCACGCCGUAGGCGAUGAGUGCUAACUGUCGGGAUCUCAGAUCUCGGUGGUGUAAGCUAACGCGUUAAGCACUCCGCCUGGGGAGUACGGCCAGCAUGAUUAAAACUCAUAGGUAUUCGACGG